rnacentral:rRNA from 1 species
AGCGAACGCUGGCGGCGUGCUUAACACAUGCAAGUCGAACGUGAAAUGUAGCAAUACAGAGUAAAGUGGCGUACGGGUGAGUAACACGUGGGUAAUCUACCAAAGAGCCUGGAAUAACCGACCGAAAGGUUGGCUAAUACUGGAUAGCUCAAAUGAAAUAUAAUGUUUCGAUUGGGAAAGGGAGCGAGCAAUCGCCUUCACUUUUUGAUGAGCCCGCGUCUGAUUAGCUAGUUGGUAGGGUAAUGGCCUACCAAGGCGACGAUCAGUAGCUGGUCUGAGAGGAUGAUCAGCCACACUGGAACUGAAACACGGUCCAGACUCCUACGGGAGGCAGCAGUGGGAAAUCUUGCGCAAUGGACGAAAGUCUGACGCAGCCACGCCGCGUGAGUGAAGAAGGCCUUCGGGUUGUAAAGCUCUGUCGGAAGGGACAAAAACGUUUAAGGUUAAUAGCCUUAGAUCUUGAUGGUACCUUCAAAGGAAGCACCGGCUAACUUCGUGCCAGCAGCCGCAGUAA